UGCAGUCGAACGAACUUCCGUUAAUUGAUUAUGACGUACUUGUACUGAUUGAGAUUUUAACACGAAGUGAGUGGCGAACGGGUGAGUAACACGUGGGUAACCUGCCCARAAKUAGGGGAUAACACCUGGAAACAGAUGCUAAUACCGUAUAACARARAAAACCGCAKGGUUUUCUUUUAAAARAUGGCUCUGCUAUCACUUCUGGAUGGACCCGCGGCGUAUUASCUAGUUGGUGAGGUAAAGGCUCACCAAGGCAGUGAUACGUASCCRACCUGARAGGGUAAUCGGCCACAUUGGGACUGARACACGGCCCAGACUCCUACGGGAGGCAGCAGUAGGGAAUCUUCCACAAUGGACGCAAGUCUGAUGGAGCAACGCCSCGUGAGUGAARAAGGGUUUCGGCUCGUAAAGCUCUGUUGUUAAARAAGAACGUGGGUAAGAGUAACUGUUUACCCAGUGACGGUAUUUAACCARAAAGCCACGGCUAACUACKUGCCASCASCCGCGGUAAUACGUAGGUGGCAAGCGUUAUCCGGAUUUAUUGGGCGUAAAGCGAGCGCAGGCGGUCUUUUAAGUCUAAUGUGAAAGCCUUCGGCUCAACCGAAGAAGUGCAUUGGAAACUGGGAGACUUGAGUGCAGAARAGGACAGUGGAACUCCAUGUGUAGCGGUGAAAUGCGUAGAUAUAUGGAAGAACACCAGUGGCGAAGGCGGCUGUCUGGUCUGCAACUGACGCUGAGGCUCGAAAGCAUGGGUAGCGAACAGGAUUAGAUACCCUGGUAGUCCAUGCCGUAAACGAUGAUUACUAAGUGUUGGAGGGUUUCCGCCCUUCAGUGCUGCAGCUAACGCAUUAAGUAAUCCGCCUGGGGAGUACGACCGCAAGGUUGAAACUCAAAAGAAUUGACGGGGGCCCGCACAAGCGGUGGAGCAUGUGGUUUAAUUCGAAGCUACGCGAAGAACCUUACCAGGUCUUGACAUCUUCUGACAGUCUAAGAGAUUAGAGGUUCCCUUCGGGGACAGAAUGACAGGUGGUGCAUGGUUGUCGUCAGCUCGUGUCGUGARAUGUUGGGUUAAGUCCCGCAACGAGCGCAACCCUUAUUACUAGUUGCCAGCAUUAAGUUGGGCACUCUA
rnacentral:rRNA from 1 species